rnacentral:rRNA from 1 species
AACGAACGCUGGCGGCAUGCCUAACACAUGCAAGUCGAACGAGACCUUCGGGUCUAGUGGCGCACGGGUGCGUAACGCGUGGGAACCUGCCCUUAGGUUUGGAAUAACUCCCCGAAAGGGGUGCUAAUACCAGAUAAUGUCUUCGGACCAAAGAUUUAUCGCCUUUGGAUGGGCCCGCGUUGGAUUAGCUAGUUGGUAGGGUAAAAGCCUACCAAGGCGACGAUCCAUAGCUGGUCUGAGAGGAUGAUCAGCCACACUGGGACUGAGACACGGCCCAGACUCCUACGGGAGGCAGCAGUGGGGAAUAUUGGACAAUGGGCGAAAGCCUGAUCCAGCAAUGCCGCGUGAGUGAUGAAGGCCUUAGGGUUGUAAAGCUCUUUUACCCGGGAUGAUAAUGACAGUACCGGGAGAAUAAGCGCCGGCUAACUCCGUG